rnacentral:rRNA from 1 species
GAGUUUGAUCGUGGCUCAGGAUUAACGCUGGCGGCGUGCCUGACACAUGCAAGUCGAACGAGUUCUAGUUGCCCGCAAGGGUGACUAGCGCGAGUGGCGGACGGGUGAGUAACACGUGGGCAACCUGCCUGAGAGCGCGGAAUAACCCUGCGAAAGCAGAGCUAAUACCGCAUGUGGUUGUUGGUUGGCAUCUUCUAACAACUAAAGUCGCAAGACGCUCUCAGAUGGGCCCGCGGCCUAUUAGCUAGUUGGUGAGGUAACGGCCCACCAAGGCAUUGAUGGGUAGCUGGUCUGAGAGGACGGACAGCCACACUGGGACUGAGACACGGCCCAGACUCCUACGGGAGGCAGCAGUGAGGAAUUUUCCGCAAUGGGCGAAAGCCUGACGGAGCAACGCCGCGUGAGGGAUGAAGUCUCUAGGGAUGUAAACCUCUGUUGGGAGGGACGAAGAUCUGACGGUACCUCCUGAGGAAGCCCCGGCUAACUACGUGCCAGCAGCCGCCGCCGU